AUCUUCUUCGGAAGAGAGCGGCGGACGGGUGAGUAACGCGUGGGUAACCUGCCCUGUACACACGGAUAACAUACCGAAAGGUAUGCUAAUACGAGAUAAUAUGCUUUUAUCGCAUGGUAGAAGUAUCAAAGCUUUUGCGGUACAGGAUGGACCCGCGUCUGAUUAGCUGGUUGGUAAGGUAACGGCUUACCAAAGCGACGAUCAGUAGCCGACCUGAGAGGGUGAUCGGCCACAUUGGAACUGAGACACGGUCCAAACUCCUACGGGAGGCAGCAGUGGGGAAUAUUGCACAAUGGGCGAAAGCCUGAUGCAGCAACGCCGCGUGAGCGAUGAAGGCCUUCGGGUCGUAAAGCUCUGUCCUCAAGGAAGAUAAUGACGGUACUUGAGGAGGAAGCCCCGGCUAACUACGUGCCAGCAGCCGCGGUAAUACGUAGGGGGCUAGCGUUAUCCGGAAUUACUGGGCGUAAAGGGUGCGUAGGUGGUUUCUUAAGUCAGAGGUGAAAGGCUACGGCUCAACCGUAGUAAGCCUUUGAAACUGGGAAACUUGAGUGCAGGAGAGGAGAGUGGAAUUCCUAGUGUAGCGGUGAAAUGCGUAGAUAU
rnacentral:rRNA from 1 species